UUCCGGUUGAUCCCGCCAGAGGUUACUGCUAUCGGUGUUCGCCUAAGCCAUGCGAGUCAUAUGUAGCAAUACAUGGCGUACUGCUCAGUAACACGUGGAUAACCUGCCCUUGGGACCGGCAUAACCCCGGGAAACUGGGGAUAAUUCCGGAUAACGCAUAUUUGCUGGAAUGCUUUAUGCGUCAAAAGGAUUCGUCUGCCCAAGGAUGGGUCUGCGGCCUAUCAGGUAGUAGUGGGUGUAAUGUACCUACUAGCCAGCGACGGGUACGGGUUGUGAGAGCAAGAGCCCGGAGAUGGAUUCUGAGACAUGAAUCCAGGCCCUACGGGGCGCAGCAGGCGCGAAAACUUUACAAUGCGGGAAACCGUGAUAAGGGGACACCGAGUGCCAGCAUCAUAUGCUGGCUGUCCGGAUGUGUAAAAUACAUCCGUUAGCAAGGGCCGGGCAAGACCGGUGCCAGCCGCCGCGGUAACACCGGCGGCCCGAGUGGUGAUCGUGAUUAUUGGGUCUAAAGGGUCCGUAGCCGGUUUGGUCAGUCCUCCGGGAAAUCUGAUAGCUCAACUAUUAGGCUUUCGGGGGAUACUGCCAGACUUGGAACCGGGAGAGGUAAGAGGUACUACAGGGGUAGGAGUGAAAUCUUGUAAUCCCUGUGGGACCACCUGUGGCGAAGGCGUCUUACCAGAACGGGUUCGACGGUGAGGGACGAAAGCUGGGGGCACGAACCGGAUUAGAUACCCGGGUAGUCCCAGCCGUAAACGAUGCUCGCUAGGUGUCAGGCAUGGCGCGACCGUGUCUGGUGCCGCAGGGAAGCCGUGAAGCGAGCCACCUGGGAAGUACGGCCGCAAGGCUGAAACUUAAAGGAAUUGGCGGGGGAGCACAACAACGGGUGGAGCCUGCGGUUUAAUUGGAGUCAACGCC
rnacentral:rRNA from 1 species